rnacentral:misc_RNA from 1 species
AAGAUGCUUCCAGACAUUUUCAUUAAUGUACUUAGCAUGACCGUUGAUGUUUCCUAUACCUGAAGAAGUUAACUGGAUUUAAUGUUCGUGUUCAGUGUACCAUAUAAUUAAGUCCUGUUACUGAUCCAUAAAUCUCUGCUGUGUAUAUCAAUUAUCAACUAUCAGCUGCAGCUAGAAUGUAGAUACAAAUUUGAGAAUUUCUUAGUUGUGCAGGUUAUUUGAAUUUGAUUACAAUAAUAACAUGGCAUUGUAAUAGUGUAGUACAAUAUCGCAUGAAAUUACAUGUACAUUUGUUUGAUUGUAUAUGGAAACAAUUUUUUAAGUAUACAUGUUAAACAUUUGUCUUUCCCCUUUAUGGAUGAUGUAUGAAUGAGUGGUUAUGAUUAUUCAAACUUUAAGAAGCUUUAAUCAUUUUUAAAAUAUAAUUUCUGUUUGGAUGCCAAAAACACCACAUAGUGUUAUAACCGGUAAUUUCAUUAUUCUUCUCAACAAUUUCUUUUCAGAUAUUCUUGAAUUUUCCCUUAAUUUAUUUCAUAGAGAAACGAACACUUUAAAAAUUUGUGUUUUGCAGAUAUAAGUUUUGGUAUUAAUAAGUACUACUUCUAAAUUAUGUACUCUAUUUAUUGUUUUUUUUAUUAAAUUCAACAUUAAUAAGUGCAUGCAGUUUUGCAAAAUUUUGAAUAAUUGUUGUCUUACCAAAGUCGGAGACAGCUGAAAGCUGUUCUUCCUCACAAUAUUAAGACUAUUAGACAAGAUGAGAUGUUAAGCAAUUCUCAUAAAACCAAGAUAAUUUUUACUGAUUUGAAAGCAUCAGUGUAUAACAGCAGAAUUUUGUUGUAAUUCUGGCAGUGUGCAAGUGUUGUACUGAAAUGUUUGUGUUUUCUCCAUCAUUAUACUUGGGUGCAAGGAAUUGCUGUCUUUUUACUUUUUAUUUUAUCCCCCCUGUGAGAUGAGAUGUAUUGUCUGUGAUUUUUUACUCUUUUUGUAGUGAGAGUUAUUUAUACAAACAUUCUGGUGUGCAAGAGAAAUGGAGUCAGGAAUUUUAUCCCCCUUUAUCCCGUUAGACUUUCUGUAACUUUUUUAACUGUAGUGUGUUACUGUUUCACCAAUUAAGUCUCAUGAUUUUUAUUGUUACACCUUUAUAUGAUUGUUAUGACAGUUCUAGUGUCAACUAAUAAAAUGGAGAUGACAACC